UUAGCCGCUCCUGCUUCUGUGGGUACCAUCAUUAUUGUCCCCACUGAAAGACCUUUACGACCCGAAGGCCUUCAUCGGUCACGCGGCGUCGCUGGAUCAGGGUUUCCCCCAUUGUCCAAGAUUCCCC
rnacentral:rRNA from 1 species